rnacentral:misc_RNA from 1 species
GCCCUAAGUGUGAACCUCCCCCCUUAAAAAGCAAAAGGUUUAAAAAUUAACAGGAAUAGUGCAUAGAACUUCAAUAAUUAUUCAGUUGGGGGAACAUGACGGCUGUAACAACUAUUCAGAAUGGUUAACUAAAGCAAUAAACUGCAUCCCCAUAGGGCUAUCCCAGCCGUAAGGUUCGGGAUUUCUAUUAGGAGGUUUUAGGUUUGGUCCUGCUAAUUGAAUAAGGAGAACUACCCUCAUUGUGUAGCUUCACCAAUGAAAAGAAAAUAGAAAUAAAAAUAAUGAAGAAGCAACAAACUGCACAUGCAUCAAAGCCUCAUCACUGAUAAUAUGGUGUAUCAACAGAAAAUCGUUCCAUGAGUUGAAAUCAGCAAGCUAAGCACAACCAUACCUGAUACAGUGGUGGUAACUGAU